rnacentral:rRNA from 1 species
CCUACGGGAGGCUGCAGUGAGGCAUAUUGGUCAAUGGACGCGAGUCUGAACCAGCCAAGCCGCGUGCAGGAUGACUGCCCUAUGAGUUGUACACUUCUUUUAUACGAGGGUAAACUCCGGCACGUGUAUCUGUUUGAAAGUACCUUACGAAUAAGGAUCGGCUAACUCCGUGCCAGCAGCCGCGGUAAUACGGAGGAUCCGAGCGUUAUCCGGAUUUAUUGGGUUUAAAGGGUGCGUAGGCGGUUUGUUAAGUCAGUGGUGAAAUGUUGGGGCUCAACCCCGAAACUGCCGGUAAUACUGGUGGACUAGAGUAUAGUUGAGGUAGGCGGAAUGCAUGGUGGAGCGGUGAAAUGCUUAGAGAUCAUACAGAACACCGAUUGCGAAGGCAGCUUACCAAACUAUAUCUGACGUUGAGGCACGAAAGCGUGGGUAGCAAACAGGAUUAGAUAACCGAGUAGUC